rnacentral:lncRNA from 1 species
UUCAUGUGUUUGGUUUUUUGUUUGUUUGUUUGUUUAAAGCAGGAAAGUUCCUCUGUCUGGUUCAGUGCCUGGUCACAGCAAGUUUUCCUGGCACAAGUGAGUGGAAAGAGCACUUUGGCAUGGAGAGGAAAUGAGCAGCGGAGGGUGAAAGGUGUCCUGGCGGGCACUUCCCAUUUGUGUCCUUAUCUCCCAGCCUCCAGCUGUCUUCAAAGGCUUCCCAGCUACUGUGUCCUGCAAGUUCAAAACCCUGCAGCCCUCUGGGACUGGAGAUGUGUGAAGGAGCACAAGGAUUGGAGUUGAAUGACAGUGUAAGUAUCAGUUGUCACUGCAAGGAAUGUUUCCUUCAUUUCCAGAAGGAGUUAAUGGAGAAAGAACCUGUUUUAAUAUAAAUGAAAGCUGCGUUUCCACGGUGACUUUCUCAAAUUUAGAAGAUCUUGUCCUUUAAAUCCAGUUUGCCAUGGGACAUAAAGUUCAUUUGCUAUAGACCACAUCAAACCAGCUGAGCCCAGAGAAGAAUAUGGUGAGGUGCCAGGAAAACAAAAAAAAGAAAAAAAACCUCUGUAGAAAACAGACUUUUGUGGGACUAAAAAGUGGGAGAUUAUUCUUACUGGAAAUUUGUCACCCCACUCCAGAAAUGGAGUUGUCUGAUAAAUAAAUUCUCUGCAAAGACUGAAGAAAACA